UUAGCUCACAAUUAUACAGCAAAGUCUCCUGGGAGGGUUUAUAUGUUAAGCUCUGUCAGUAAUUUCUCCCCUAGCAAGAAUGAGGAAGAUGAAGAGCUCGGGUAUCUGAGGGCUGGUGUGUCUGCAUGCGUGUGUGUUUUGGGGGCCGACUGAAGGAAGAGAAGGCUGGAGAGAGGGAACAUGGGUCUGAGGGCACAUCGCUAAGGGGUCAAGAGGCCUAAAGGAGGAGUCUAAGGCUCUCCAUCGAACUUGGACUUGGUCUACAUUAGACUUUAACCUCCAUGAGGCUUGGACUUUCAGGCUUCCUCCCUCACACCGCGGGCAGGUGAGGCGUCUGCUACAGGCCUGGUCUCGCAGAGGGGGCCCAGCGCCCCCCGCCGCCGCCUUCUCCUGGAGUCUGUGUGACAGAAUGGGACCUGUGGGAAAGCAGCACGUCAGCACCCAGCCCCGCUUGCGCGCCAGCAGCUAAUUAAAGCCAGGAAGGUGAUGGCGAUUUUCAACUCAUUCCCGUUACAAACAGCCGACCUUCCUACCGAGUUCAAGUACCUUCUGCCUGGCCUGGAAGAACAAUAUCUCUCUGUCUCCCUCUUCCACUGGCCCUCACCUGCCUUCCCCUGAACAUGCAUUUUGCCUGACAGGAGACAGAGGCAGUUGAUGCUUGCAGCUUGGUCCAGGAGGCCAGCAGGACCAGAGAGAAGACCACAGCGACACAUGGGGAUGGCUGUCCCACAGGCAGAAAUGAGCAGCCGGGAGGAAGCCCAGGCAGCCAGCCACCCAGCUCCCUCCACAUCGUGGCCCUAGAACGGAGUCUUGAAGAAUAAGAAGCCACAGCUUGUCAGGGAAUCAGGCUGGAAAAAUGUUAUGAGACUGAGUAAGACCAGAGAUUCCUCAGCAGUGCCUGGAGAAGACCAGGAGAGGAAGCAGAAGACCCUCCUCAAAGAAGCAGCCUUCACCUCCAGACCUCCCAGCGGGACUUAGACAAUGGGGUUAGGCAGUCACAUGUCUGCACGUGGAAACUUUCUGGGACUGUGCUUGGAUCCUGGCUCUGCCUUUUACUAGCCAUGUGACCUUGGGAAAAUCACUUGACUUCUCCGUGCAGGAUUCCUCAUCUGUAAAAAUGGUCUAAGAUUAGGAGCCACCUCAAGGUUGUUGUAGGAAUUAAAUUAAUUCAUGUUUAUAAAGUGCUUUGAACAGCGUUUGGCACAUGGAGAAUUAAAUGAGCAAACGGAAGAGCAGCAACCCUGAGUUACAUUUCUCAAGACACCGGGGCUCUUGAUGGCACAGCAGCAGCUUGCUAGAGCUUGGUAAAGAGACUUGGGCCUGGUACCUGAAGGGCAAUUCCUUGGCCAUGACAUUGUAGGGAAAGACCUCUAUGGGUGUUGAAAAGACAAGGCGAGGACAAGAAGAGUUGAAAAGGAGCUGUUCUGAAGCCACCUGGCUGUGGAUGGAGGAAGCCACAUGUAGCUUAGGUAGCCUGCUAUUGUAAUUUUUUCUGCAACUGAAGAAUUCGAAAUGGGUUUGGUGGGUAGCGAAGGGCAGAAUCUGGCUUCAAGGUGACAGAGUUUGCAUAGAGAUGGCCUUCUUGAGCAAAGGUAGUGACUCCUACAUUUUUUUUUUUUGUAGAGUUGUGAUACCCAUGAGUUAGUCAGCUUGGGCUAUCAUAACAAAAUACCACACAUUGGUUGGCUUAAACAACAGAAAUUCAUUUUCCUGUAAUUCUGGAGGCUGGAAGUCCAAGAUCAAGGUGACGACAGAGUUGGGUUUCCUCUGAAGCCUCUCUCCUUGGUUUUCAGAUGGGUGUCCUCUUGCUGUCUCUUCAUGUGACUGUCCCUCUGCAUGUGUGCCCCUGGGGACUCUUUCUUAUCUUAUAGUGACACUAGUUCUAUUGGAUUGAAGUGUACCCAUACGACCUCAUUUAAACUUAAUUACAUAUUGUAAGGCCCUAACUUCAAAUACAGUCACAUCCUGAGGUACUGUGUAUUAGGGCUUCAACAUAUAAAUUUUGGGGCAAUCCAGUUCAGCCCAUAAAAUCCCUUUUUGGUUGCUUGAUUCUGUUUAUUUGGUGUCAUGCCUUCCUUUUCCUAAAGAACUUCAUGAAUAGAAUUACUUUCUAAGUGAAAGGAACAAAACUGAUUUUUAUUAAAAAUUAUUUUGAGAUGCUUGUGACAAAUUUUGAAGUAAGUGAAGAUUUUCCUGGAGCUUCUACAAAAUCCUGGCUGAGAAUCCCUGCUUUCUGGACAGUUGAGAAGGAAAUACACUUAGUACAGCUGUUAGAGAGAUAUAGUUGCAACCACUGAGUGCUUAUUAUCUGCCAACUUAAAUAUAUUGCCCAAGGGAAUAACAAAUAUUCUAGUGUUCUUGUUAAGUAUAUUGUCUAAGGUCACACAGCUCUUAAACAACAGCUUCAGGAUUUGAACCUGGAAUCUAUCUGACUCCUAAGUCCAGAUGCUGUUCACCACAUUAGGUUGAAGCAUGGCCAGUGUUCAUAACAUACAACUAUGUCUCCAUAUCUUUUGCUAACCAAUGUUCUUGUAUGUGCAUACCUUACAGGGCAGCCAUUCACCACAAGCCCUACUAGAUGGCUUCCUGUAAUAAGGGUAGAACAGUAGUACUCUCCUUUUGAGAAGUUAUUUGUAAUUUUGUUGGUGGGCUGACAUUUAGGCCCUGCUCUCCAGCCCCAGAGGGGAUCCCAUAACCUAGAUCAGGCCAAUGAUGAUUAUCUCCGUGACUGUAGUGGCUGGUCCAGCGGGGAGGGUCAGGCAGGUAAGCUGGCCCAACCUGAGUCCUUCUUGAGGAUUUUAGAAACUGAAGGUAGGAGAGAAAAAUUCUCUCUUUUCUUCUGGGGAACGGGAUGAAGGUGGUGGGUAGGCAGAGCUGUUGGGAUGUGGAUCCAGGGAUUCUGGAAGUCCUGUCCUCCACCAUGUAAAGAAUACAUCCUGCAGAAGGAGAGAAGGGAGCCAGCACACAGAGAAGCAGAGUCAGGAGAUGGAGAAGGAGAAUCCUGAGAGCCUGAAGGUCCCUGGGUCCAGCCAUUGUCAAGGCCGAGUUCUACCGUCCUUAAGUUGUUUACCUUUCUUUCUUGCUUGCUUCUGUUAGAAGAUGAACACUCAAUGAAAAAUCACCAAACAUCUGAGGAAAGCCAUCAAAAUGAAAUAAACGAAACACACAAGUUCCUAAACACAAGUGAACAGCGUGGGCUGGGUUUUUGUCGCUUGGAACUGGAAACGCUGACGAUAAUGCUGACCUCUGAGCAGACCCACGUGAGGGGCAGCUGUGGUGUGGUGUGAUGAUGCUGGGAUAGGCACUCAGAUGGUUGAGUCUGAGUUUGGCUCUGAUAUUAUAUCAACUGCAUGGGCAGCUGUGGUGUGGUGUGAUGAUGCUGGGAUAGGCACUCAGAUGGUUGAGUCUGAGUUUGGCUCUGAUAUUAUAUCAACUGCAUGGGCAGCUGUGGUGUGGUGUGAUGAUGCUGGGAUAGGCACUCAGAUGGUUGAGUCUGAGUUUGGCUCUGAUAUUAUAUCAACUGCAUGGGCAGCUGUGGUGUGGUGUGAUGAUGCUGGGAUAGGCACUCAGAUGGUUGAGUCUGAGUUUGGCUCUGAUAUUAUAUCAACCGCAUCAUUUUGGGGAAGACACAAUUUCUCAGAAUUUUAUUUAGUUGUAAAAUAAAGAUAAUGAUAUUACAUGCUCUGUCUACCAUCUAGAGUUUUUGUCAAGACAAAC
rnacentral:lncRNA from 1 species